CAGUAAAUAGUUUAUUAAAACAUUAAUUUUGGAGAUUAAAAAUAAGUAGUUUAUACUUUUUGCUGA
rnacentral:tRNA from 1 species